rnacentral:lncRNA from 1 species
AUGCUCAGUGUAAAUUCUCCUGGAGCCUGUCAAGCUAUGUUUGAACUCGUUCCAGAAUAGUGGAUUUACUUUUUUUUCCCCAACCAGGAAGAAUACUCGAUUAGACUGCAUUUUGCCUUGCUUUUCCUUCUCCCUUUCUCUCUCUCUUUCUUUCUUUCUUUCUUUCUUUUCUUUCUUUCCUCUUUCUCUCUUUCCUUCUUUCUUUUUUUCUUCUUUCCUUCCUUCCUUCCUUCUUUCUUUUCUUUCUUUCCAUUUUUUUUUCCUCCAGAAGAAUGGAAACAGUAUUCUUUUCCGAUCAGUUCAGUAAUACAAUGUCCUUCAGUGUCCAUAUGAGCAUCUCAGUGGAGAAGAAAAGAAACUUUGCUACCUGGGAACUGAAGACUACUUAGGCAAAGAUGGGCUGUCUGGAAAGCUGGACUCAGCCUGGAGCAUGUUCCCCAGAUUGCUAUUUUGUGAAGGCUUCCGCAUACAAAUGACUCAGAUCCAAACAUUCAAAAAUGAUCUUGGAGGGCCAUCUGGUUCUUGCUGGUUCUAAAAGCUUCCUUCAGCCUGGAGUAUGGAUCCAGUACAAAAGAUAGUGAGAGCUGUUCAUUGAGGUUUAACAUGUUCCACUGACCGAGGCUAGAAGCUGGCUUUAAAAAAUAGCCAACACUGAUGCUCCAAGGGCCAAUUGCUGAUGCUUGUCACAGUGAAGAUCCCGGUGUUACACAUCCAAUCGUUCACCUCCUUCCAAGACUAUGACAUUCCAGGAAACCUUCACUGCUAAGAGGAACUAAGAUCUAGAGUAUCUCCUCGAGGAAGUACAACUGACUUGUCUUUGGACAAAAUUGAGAAGAACUCAUAAACUUGGCUUCCUCACUUCUGCUUCUC